GUGGAGUCUCCUCGGGGAAUGGAAACCUGAGCCCCACCCUGCAGGGCUAUCAGGCCCCUGUUUGUGGGGUGUGCAUACAGAGCUUAGCAGGGAGCCUAGUUCAGUGAGAAGUUCUCCUCCUAGUAAGAACAGGGUGGUUCUGUUCUGCUCCAGGAAACGGUGCCCAAGGAGUGAGCGGCCAGAGGGCUGAUGAGAAAGAAGGAGGCUGGGGGAAGGGGUGAGGGAUGUCAGGAUUCUAGGAGAACGUGGCCCAAGGAAGGGGCAGCUGUAGGCCCAAGGUCUGCCUCCUGCAGGUGCGAUGUCUGAGCCGCCCACUCCCGGGGUCCCCGCAUGCUGCGUGCACUUUCCACAGAGACACCCCAUAGGGACACCCCGCAACCCCCUGGACGAGACCCUCAGACAGUGUUUGCUUAAUGAAUAAUGAAAAGAAAUAGAAAAUCAAGAGAACCAAGGUCUAGGCCCUGUGCUCUUCAAACAAGACACACGGAGAGAGCCACCCUAUACUCUAGGCAGGGGGUUCUUAGCAGGCACAGUGGGGCCUUUCUGGAGUGGUUGUCACCACUGGGGUGGGGCUGGGGCUACAGUCAAGCAGCUGAGGCCAGGGAAGCUGCUAACACCCCAAAAUACACAGUGCAGCCCCCACCACAAAGAACAUCCAGCCCACAGGUCAAUGGUGUGAUUGGAAACCCCACUCUAGGGGAAAGAUGAAUGUUCCAGAAUGUUCCAGAUACACAGACUGGACUCCUAUCACCUGGAGACUGCUUGGCUUCCUGACCCAGGGGUUGGUGUCUGGCUCCCUGAGCCAGAGCCUUUUCAUGAGGCCCCCAGAGAAACGAGGCGAUUCAGCUAUUACCUGGACAGGUAACCUUCUUGGAAGGAAGUGCAAUCUCUGCUCUCAAAGAGAUUUGAAAACCCUCCAACAGGCAACUCUUUCUAAUUGUUCUGGCACUUUCCCCUGCCUUGCUGGGUUUUCAUCUAAAGGGAAGUUCCUGAAAGCCCGAGACAAUGCUGGGUCUCCAGGCCAACCUCACAUUUGCUCCCCCUGCGCUCAAGGAUCAUAAGCCCCCAGGAGCCGCUCUUGAACUGGGAGGAUUUAAACCACACAAGGGAAGUAUUAAACCCAAAGAAUGCAAUCUUCUUGUCCCAUCGGAGACACCCGUCAAUAUUCCUACACAGAUAAAUCACUCAUUGGCCAGAAGGAUGGGUGGGGAGCAAUGAUAAAUCAUCGUGUAUUUCUCCUUAACUCUCGUGUUCUUGAGCAAACUUUCUCCCGGGCUAUGUCGCCAGCAUUGGAAGCACCCCUCUGGGGCAGAAAAUGCCAGCAUUCUUUCCAGGCCUUCUGUUUAAAAUUCUGCUGAAACUUCUAAAUACUCAUGCUGCAGAGAAAACAUGCUGUGCCUCGAACAAAUUGAGCUCAGGAUCCAAACAGCCCAGGAGACGGAGCCCAGCCCCACUUCCUGUCCCUGGAGGGUCCCUUGCACCCUCGGCUCCUGAGGGUCACGGCUUUGAAAUAAAAAGCCUGAA